rnacentral:rRNA from 1 species
AGUGAACGCUGGCGGUAGGCCUAACACAUGCAAGUCGAACGGCAGCACAGGAGAGCUUGCUCUCUGGGUGGCGAGUGGCGGACGGGUGAGGAAUACAUCGGAAUCUACUCUGUCGUGGGGGAUAACGUAGGGAAACUUACGCUAAUACCGCACACGACCUACGGGUGAAAGCAGGGGACCUUCGGGCCUUGCGCGAUUGAAUGAGCCGAUGUCGGAUUAGCUAGUUGGCGGGGUAAAGGCCCACCAAGGCGACGAUCCGUAGCUGGUCUGAGAGGAUGAUCAGCCACACUGGAACUGAGACACGGUCCAGACUCCUACGGGAGGCAGCAGUGGGGAAUAUUGGACAAUGGGCGCAAGCCUGAUCCAGCCAUACCACGUGGGUGAAGAAGGCCUUCGGGUUGUAAAGCCCUUUUGUUGGGAAAGAAAUCCAGCUGGCUAAUACCCGGUUGGGAUGACGGUACCCAAAGAAUAAGCACCGGCUAACUUUGUGCCAGCCGCCGCCGUAA